rnacentral:rRNA from 1 species
GACAGAGGUGCCGAGCGUUAGGCGGAAUCACUGGGUUUAAAGCGUGUGUAGGCGGAUCGUUAAGUGCCUUGUGAAAUCCCACGGCUCACCCGUGGAACUGCUGGGCAUACUGGCGGUCUUGAGCCACCUAGGGGCAACCGGAACAAACGGUGGAGCGGUGAAAUGCGUAGAUAUCGUUUGGAACGCCAAUGGUGAAAACAGGUUGCUGGGGGUGUGCUGACGCUGAGACACGAAAGCCAGGGGAGCAAACGGG